GACAGAGGGUGCAAACGUUGUUCGGAAUUACUGGGCGUAAAGCGCGUGUAGGCGGCUAAGUAAGUCGGGCGUGAAAUCCCACGGCUCAACCGUGGAAGUGCACUCGAAACUGCAUAGCUAGAGUCCUGGAGAGGAAGGUGGAAUGCUUGGUGUAGAGGUGAAAUUCGUAGAUAUCAAGCGGAACACCGGUGGCGAAGGCGGCCUUCUGGACAGUGACUGAUGCUGAGACGCGAAAGCGUGGGGAGCAAACAGG
rnacentral:rRNA from 1 species